GACGAACGCUGGCGGCGUGCCUAAUACAUGCAAGUAGAACGCUGAAGGAGGAGCUUGCUUCUCUGGAUGAGUUGCGAACGGGUGAGUAACGCGUAGGUAACCUGCCUGGUAGUGGGGGAUAACUAUUGGAAACGAUAGCUAAUAACGCAUAAUAGCAGUUGUUGCAUGAUAACUGUUUGAAAGGUGCAAUUGCACCGCUACCAGAUGGACCUGCGUUGUAUUAGCUAGUUGGUGGGGUAACGUCUCACCAAGGCGACGAUACAUAGCCGACCUGAGAGGGUGAUCGGCAACACUGGAACUGAGACACGGCCCAGACUCCUACGGGAGGCAGCAGUAGGGAAUUUUCGGCAAUGGACGGAAGUCUGACCGAGCAACGCCGCGUGAGUGAAGAAGGUUUUCGGAUCGUAAAGCUCUGUUGUAAGAGAAGAACGAGUGUGAGAGUGGAAAGUCCACACUGUGCCGGUAUCUUACAAGAAAGGGACGGCUAACUAGGU
rnacentral:rRNA from 1 species